CCUACGGGCGGCAGCAGUGAGGAAUAUUGGUCAAUGGCCGGAAGCCUGAACCAGCCAAGCCGCGUGAAGGACGAAGGUGCUACGCAUUGUAAACUUCUUUUGUCAAGGAACAAAAUCAGGCACGAGAGCCUGACCGAGGGUACUUGAAGAAAAAGCAUCGGCUAACUCCGUGCCAGCAGCCGCGGUAAUACGGAGGAUCCGAGGGUUAUCCGGUUUUAUUGGGUUUAAAGGGUGCGCAGGCGGGUCUUUAAGCCGGAGGUGAAAUUGCGGGGCUAAACCCCGCCGCGCCGUCGAAACUGGGGGCCUUGAGUGCAGCGGAGGCAUGCGGAAUGCGCGGUGUAGCGGUGAAAUGCAUAGAUAUCGCGCAGAACCCCGAUUGCGAAGGCAGCGUGCCGUGCCGCCACUGACGCUGAGGCACGAAAGCGCGGGGAUCGAACAGGAUUAGAUACCCUAGUAGUC
rnacentral:rRNA from 1 species